CCAAUAGCGUAUAUUAAAGUUGUUGCAGUUAAAAAGCUCGUAGUUGAAUUUCGGGAUUGACACAUCGGUCGUGCCUUAAGGGGUAUGAACUGGUGUAGUCAGUUUCUCACCUUCUGGAGAACCGCGAUGUCCUUAAUUGGGUGCUGCGAGGAACCAGGACCUUUACUUUGAAAAAAUUAGAGUGUUUAAAGCAGGCAUUUUGCUUGAAUACAUUAGCAUGGAAUAAUAAAAUAGGACGGAUGGUUCUAUUUUGUUGGUUUCUAGGAUCACCGUAAUGAUUAAUAGGGAUAGUUGGGGGCAUUAGUAUUCAAUUGUCAGAGGUGAAAUUCUUGGAUUUAUUGAAGACUAACUACUGCGAAAGCAUUUGCCAAGGAUGUUUUCAUUAAUCAAGAACGAAAGUUAGGGGAUCGAAGACGAUCAGAUACCGUCGUAGUCUUAACCAUAAACUAUGCCGACUAGGAAUCAGACGAUGUUAAUUUUUUAAUGACUCGUUUGGCACCUUACG
rnacentral:rRNA from 1 species